UAGGACAGAGUCAGAGAGAGCCACACACCUGACAUGUGGCCUCUUAAGAGGACAGAGACGUGCUCUGCUGGAAGAAGGAAAACGUUAGAAGAGGUCAGUUGCCUUGCCUGGCCACAUCAGUCCAGUGUGGACUGAUAUAUAUCUUAUAUUCCAAUUUCUUUACUUUUCAAACAUGCUUUUAGCCCAGCACAGAACUGUGUGUCUCUCUUUACGGCAGGGAGGGGAAAGUGCAAAGAUGAGAUCAAAAUCAAACAUUUCAAGAUUGCGAGGAAGAGUUGGAAAUUGGUACUUUUCACCCUUCUCUUCCCCUAAAGUCAUUCUCACCUUUCCCUCAGCUCACAGGCGAAAGGAGGGUACCUGACAAUCCCCUCAAGGGGAGGUUCAGCAGAUACAAAUGAGGACUGAACAAAAUAUUAGAACAGUUCAAAGAAAAGGUGACUGCAAGUUGGAAAUCAUAAACAUCACGUGUUCAUACAUUACAUACUCAUGCACCAAUAUUUGCUUUAAGGAUAAAGGCUUUUCUUAAAAAUGGAUCAGGGCCGGGCAUGGUGGCUCACGCCUGUAAUCUCAGCACUUAGGGAGGCCAAGAUGGGUGGAUCACCUGAGGUCAGGAGUUCAAGACCAGCCUUGCCAACAUGGUGAGACCCCAUCUCUACUAAAAAUACAAAAA
rnacentral:lncRNA from 10 species